UCCGCACGCGCGCUACACUGAAUAGAUCAGCGUGUUCUCCCUUUCUGAGAAGAACGGGUAAACCGCUGAACCCUAUUCGUGGUAGGGAUCGGGGCUUGCAAUUAUUCCCCGUGAACCAGGAAUUCCCAGUAGGCGCGAGUCAUAAGCUCGCGUCGAUUACGUCCCUGCCCUUUGUACACACCGCCCGUCGCUACUACCGAUUGAAUGGCUAAUCACUAGUGCGGA
rnacentral:rRNA from 1 species